AUGAACGCUGGCGGCGUGCCUAACACAUGCAAGUCGAGCGAUUACUUCGGUAAAGAGCGGCGGACGGGUGAGUAACGCGUGGGUAACCUGCCUCAUACACAUGGAUAACAUACCGAAAGGUAUGCUAAUACAGGAUAAUAUAAGAGAUUCACAUGGAUUCUUAUCAAAGCUCCGGCGGUAUGAGAUGGACCCGCGUCUGAUUAGCUAGUUGGUAAGGUAAUGGCUUACCAAGGCGACGAUCAGUAGCCGACCUGAGAGGGUGAUCGGCCACAUUGGAACUGAGACACGGUCCAAACUCCUACGGGAGGCAGCAGUGGGGAAUAUUGCACAAUGGGCGAAAGCCUGAUGCAAGCAACGCCGCGUGAGUGAUGAAGGCCUUCGGGUCGUAAAACUCUGUCCUCAAGGAAGAUAAUGACGGUACUUGAGGAGGAAGCCCCGGCUAACUACGUGCCAGCAGCUGC
rnacentral:rRNA from 1 species